GGGCGUGUAGCUCAGGGGUAGAGCAUCUGCCUUUUAAGCAGAGGGUCGUAGGUUCGAGCCCUACCACGCUCA
rnacentral:tRNA from 1 species